rnacentral:rRNA from 1 species
CCUACGGGGGGCUGCAGUGGGGAAUUUUGGACAAUGGGCGCAAGCCUGAUCCAGCUAUUCCGCGUGAAGGAAGAAGGCUUUCGGGUUGUAAACUUCUUUUCUCAGGGACGAAGAAAGUGACGGUACCUGAGGAAUAAGCCACGGCUAACUACGUGCCAGCAGCCGCGGUAAUACGUAGGUGGCAAGCGUUAUCCGGAUUUACUGGGUGUAAAGGGCGUGUAGGCGGGACUGCAAGUCAGAUGUGAAAACCACGGGCUCAACCUGUGGCCUGCAUUUGAAACUGUAGUUCUUGAGUACUGGAGAGGCAGACGGAAUUCCUAGUGUAGCGGUGAAAUGCGUAGAUAUUAGGAGGAACACCAGUGGCGAAGGCGGUCUGCUGGACAGCAACUGACGCUGAGGCGCGAAAGCGUGGGGAGCAAACAGGAUUAGAUACCCGGGUAGU